CUAAUUAUACUUUUAUGAAGGUUUGUUAAACCUCUACUAAAGCUGCAAUGAAGGUCUGCUGAAGCUUUACUAAACCUGCAAUGCUGAAGCUUUACUUAAGUUCAAUUGAAGCUCUACUGAAGAUGUAAAGAAGGUAUUUUGAAGCACUACUGAAGCUGUAAAGGUCUGUUGAAGAUCUAUUGAAGCUGUAAAGAAGGUCUGUUGAAGCUCUAGGGAAGCUGUAAUGAAGGUCUGUUAAAACUUGACCGGUGAUGAGCAGAUCAUCUUCAGAUAUAUAAACAAAUCUGUGAAAUUCAGGUAUUGUAAUAUAGAAAUUUAUCAAAAUCAUGAUAUAGAAUCACAAUUUUAACUGAAUCUGCAACUAGGUUUUGUGAUGUCCUAUCGACUGGUGAUUCCCAUCCCUAGUGUUUAUACCAAACUGCCAUAAUUUUAUUCUGAAGCAACCAGGAUUUUUUUUUAAAGGAAAUUACCGGACCUAUAUGAAAUUCAUUUCUGCAAAGAUUUAAAAGCAUUCUGACUCAAAUUAUAAAUAUGCAAAACUGCAGCACAGACUAAAUUAGCUCACAAAUAAAACAUUUUACUUCCAUA